AAAUCACUGGCGCAAACCCUCUCCGACUAAAGACACCACGCAAUCGAAACCCUCCUCCGACUAAGACACCAGUAAUAAAGCGAAGAAGAAGAUUCUUGAUUACUGCACUCCUCAGGAUUAUUUUGGACCCUCCUCUAUCUUGAUUCUCAACAUUCUCCUCCAUAUUAGCACCUGAUUCCUUAUCAGAAGAAAUGAGAUGGAGGAGAAGGUUGAGAGUCAAGAUGGAGGAGGUCCAAAAUGAUUCUGAGGAGCGCAGUGAAUAAAGACAUAAAGAAGAAGAUGAAUAAACUAUAAGUGGAGGAGAAAGUGAAACUACUUCAUGCUUGAGAAUCUUUCCGUCUCCAAACGGUAUGUUUUGCAAGCUGAGGCAAAUUGAAGCUGCUACAAACAGUUUUGAUGCUGCUAACAAUAUUGGAGAAGGUGGUUUUGGUCCUGUUUACAAGGUAUUUCUUUUUGAGAACAAAGUUUGCUACCCUAGUAAAUAGUAACUAAUAGUUGAACAUAAAUAAAAUAAUUAAAACAGGUCAUGAUAACAAUUUCUCCAUAUUAAU